rnacentral:rRNA from 1 species
GGACUACCCGGGUAUCUAAUCCUGUUUGCUCCCCACGCUUUCGUGCCUCAGUGUCAGUAUCAGUCCAGUAAGUCGCCUUCGCCACUGAUGUUCCUUCCGAUAUCUACGCAUUUCACCGCUACACCGGAAAUUCCACUUACCUCUACCAUACUCUAGACUCACAGUAUCGAAUGCAGUUCCUAGGUUAAGCCCAGGGAUUUCACAUCCGACUUAUGCGUCCACCUACGCACCCUUUACGCCCAGUAAUUCCGAUUAACGCUUGCACCCUCUGUAUUACCGCGGCUGCUGGCAC